AACGAACGCUGGCGGCAUGCCUAACACAUGCAAGUCGAACGAGACCUUCGGGUCUAGUGGCGCACGGGUGCGUAACGCGUGGGAACCUGCCCUUAGGUUCGGAAUAACUCCCCGAAAGGGGUGCUAAUACCGGAUAAUGUCUUCGGACCAAAGAUUUAUCGCCUUUGGAUGGGCCCGCGUUGGAUUAGCUAGUUGGUAGGGUAAAAGCCUACCAAGGCGACGAUCCAUAGCUGGUCUGAGAGGAUGAUCAGCCACACUGGGACUGAGACACGGCCCAGACUCCUACGGGAGGCAGCAGGUGGGAAUAUUGGACAAUGGGCGAAAGCCUGAUCCAGCAAUGCCGCGUGAGUGAUGAAGGCCUUAGGGUUGUAAAGCUCUUUUACCCGGGAUGAUAAUGACAGUACCGGGAGAAUAAGCUCCGGCUAACUCCGUG
rnacentral:rRNA from 1 species